UGAUAAGCUAACUUUGUAGUUGUUUCUGAUUUUUUUUUAUACUCUUUUCUAGCUUUCUGGCACAGUGUACAAGCUGGAAUACUACCAUGUCUAAUAUCAUACCUUUUUCAGCCCACAUCAGUUCAGUGAGCAAGUGUAAGAGCCACAUUUUGAGCCGGGCCGGCCGCUAACCACAGCACCGGCCCGACCCAUGUGAAGGGGAGGGAGACUCCCGAACGGGGUCUUCUCCCUCCCCUGCUUCAGUCCCUUCCCGAAUCCACCGCAAGAGGGGAAAAAAAAAAAAAGGGGAAUCAAAUCUUACGUAAAUUGAACCAAUCCUCUUCUAUAAAAGACCCCUUUUCCCUCUUCCUAGGGCAUCAAUCGAGAGCUCUUUCAAAAAAAAAAAAAGAGAGAAAGAGAGAGAGAGAGAUCCGUGAGAAGCUUGGAUUGUUCGCCGUCGGGCCGGCCGGAGGAGUUCGCCGGAGGUGAGGAAAAUAAUCUGUUGGACGAGGGGACGCUAAGCGGGAUCCUGAGCAUCCCGGUUCAUAGAUCGCCGUGAGGGCGGAUGAUUAGUUGUCUGAGUUUUCAACAAGAAGUUGCAAGAUGCAUAGAUUUGGAUGGGAUGGGCGUAGAGUGCGAGUACCAG